UCCAGACUGGCUGCCAAAUUAUUGCUCCUGAGAGCCUGAGAAUGGGGAUUAGAGCUGAAACACUGAAGUCCUUACAUGUGGACUGCAUGGUGCAUCCCAGGGAUACCUGCCACAUGCUAAGCCUGUCCACAGGCUGUUCUGCUAUGGCUAGAGGGGGAUAUUUGAAGGCUGGCUCUCCUUAAUAAAGGGGCUGAUCUGUAAAUCAG